rnacentral:pre_miRNA from 1 species
UUUGAGGGGAAUGUUGUCUGGCUCGGGGCUACUUUUUAAUCUCUCGCUCUAUCUAGUAUCUUUUAAUCUCUCUUUGCUCGAUCUUUCUUGAUCCUUACAUCUCAAGAAAAGAUCAGCUAAAGAGAUGAGAGUAGAUGUUGUUUGUAGAUCUCGGACCAGGCUUCAUUCCCCCCAAA